AGCGUGUGCGCGAGUCACUGGGUGACAAACCUAAAGGCGGAAUGAAAGUAAAGGGGGCUUUGCUUCCCGAGGGAAGAUGGGCACGUCUUGCCUUUAUAAGGCGGUGCCCCGCAUUCCCGGGGCGUCUCUCUUCUCUAUACGAGUGGAGGCGCACCUAUAGCGCACACGCUGAUACCCGAAAGAUGGUGAACUAUGCCUGGCCAGGACGAAGCCAGGGGAAACCCUGGUGGAGGUCCGCAGCGAUUCUGACGUGCAAAUCGAUCGUCGGAGCUGGGUAUAGGGGCGAAAGGCCAAUCGAACCAUCUAGUAGCUGGUUCCCUCUGAAGUUUCCCUCAGGAUAGCUUGCGCUCGGAGAGAAGAGUCUCAUCCGGUAGAGCGAAUGAUUAGAGGCCUUGGGGUCGAAACGACCUCAACCUAUUCUCAAACUCCAAAUGUAUGAGAUGCCCGGCUUGCUUGAAAGUGAAGCCGGGACUCGGAUCAGAGUGCCAAGUGGGCCAAUUUUGGUAAGCAGAACUGGCGCUGUGGGAUGAACCAAACGCAGAGUUAAGGCGCCUGAAUCGACGCUCAUGUGAAACCAUGAAAGGCGUUGGUUGCUUAAGACAGCAGGAUGGUGGCCAUGGAAGUCGGA
rnacentral:rRNA from 1 species